AUUAUGCCGAACCGGUAAAUUUAAUUUGAUUCAAAAGAAGUUCCAUGCAGCUGGUUAUCGUGUUGAUACAGACUUGGAUCACGGAUCAACACUAAAUAAGAAAGUUGGCAAUGCACAACUUUCACAGUACAACUUCAUUCUUGUUGUUGGUGAAAAGAGACGGUCUCAGACACGGUCAACGUCAGAACACGUGACAACAAAGUACUCGGUGAAAAAUCGGUCAUGGCCGUGAUCGAACGCUUGCGAGAUUUAGUCAGCUCACGAAGUCUGACAAGCGAA